GGGGGCAAUGCGCGGCUUACACAUGCAGUCGAACGGAAAGGCCCUGCUUUUGUGGGGUGCUCGAGUGGCGAACGGGUCAUUAACACGUGAGUAACCUGCCCUUGACUUUGGGAUAACUUCACGAAACUGGGGCUAAUACCGGAUAGGAGCUCCUGCUGCAUGGUGGGGGUUGGAAAGUUUCGGCGGUUGGGGAUGGACUCGCGGCUUAUCAGCUUGUUGGUGGGGUAGUGGCUUACCAAGGCUUUGACGGGUAGCCGGCCUGAGAGGGUGACCGGCCACAUUGGGACUGAGAUACGGCCCAGACUCCUACGGGAGGCAGCAGUGGGGAAUAUUGCACAAUGGGCGGAAGCCUGAUGCAGCAACGCCGCGUGCGGGAUGACGGCCUUCGGGUUGUAAACCGCUUUCGCCUGUGACGAAGCGUGAGUGACGGUAAUGGGUAAAGAAGCACCGGCUAACUACGUGCCAGCAGCCGCGGUGAUACGUAGGGUGCGAGCGUUGUCCGGAUUUAUUGGGCGUAAAGGGCUCGUAGGUGGUUGAUCGCGUCGGAAGUGUAAUCUUGGGGCUUAACCCUGAGCGUGCUUUCGAUACGGGUUGACUUGAGGAAGGUAGGGGAGAAUGGAAUUCCUGGUGGAGCGGUGGAAUGCGCAGAUAUCAGGAGGAACACCAGUGGCGAAGGCGGUUCUCUGGGCCUUUCCUGACGCUGAGGAGCGAAAGCGUGGGGAGCGAACAGGCUUAGAUACCCUGGUAGUCCACGCUGUAAACGGUGGGUACUAGGUGUGGGGUCCAUUCCACGGGUUCCGUGCCCGAACCUACGCUUUAAGUACCCCGCCUGGGGAGUACGGCCGCAAGGGUAAAACUCAAA
rnacentral:rRNA from 1 species